ensembl:lncRNA
UCGUUCUAAACGUCCAAGUUUCAAUAUGGACUGGAAAACAGACGAUAUUGAGGUGAAAUAAAGCCUGAGAUCUUGGAGAAUUUGGCAAUGACUUCCAUCAAAUGUGGUACCGAGGUGUUGACAUUAGUUAGGUCCCGAUGUUGUAUAAACCCGGCUUGGUCGUGAUGGAUUAGACUAGGUAGAAUCUGUAACAGUCCAUUGUUUAAUAUUUUAGUAAUGAUCUUCUUAUCACAAUUAAUUAAACGUAUUGGCCUAUAGUCAGAAGGUGUUUCACCUUUCUUUCCUGGUUUUGGUAUAACAGAGAUGAUUGCCUGGUACAUCAUUUGAAGUAGACUUUGACUUUGUUGUGCUGUCUGUA